rnacentral:rRNA from 1 species
GGAGAUGAUUGGGGUUAAGUCGUAACAAGGUAUCCGUAGCGGAAGCUGCGGAUGGAUUACCUCCUUUCUAGGGAGAAA